CAAUGCCCCUGCAGUGCAGCC
rnacentral:miRNA from 2 species